rnacentral:misc_RNA from 1 species
GUACUCUCACACUCUCAAUCCUUUGGGUUGGGAAUGGUGGACUUGGGCAUUGCUGCUUUACUGCAGCUUGCCUCAAAUGCAUUAGUGCAACUCCAGAUCGGACAUAGUACGGCGUGAUAAGUGUCUUCGCCGGCACCUUGCAAGAGGGUGACUGAUCAGGAGCUCUGUGCUUCAAACUGUCUUUGGACAAUCAUCUGACA